UUUUCAGGCAAUUGAAAACACUGCCUCAGUAUCUGAACACAAGUAACAGAGUAUGCAAGAGGAGGAGACCUGCACAACUGGAUACACCCAGAAAUGUCCCUGGCUCAACAAGCCUUCCAGCAUGACCCUGUGUCUUCCCCCUCCACGCAGAGCACCAGCAACAGUAGUGCAGACCCAGAAACCUCCCUGGCUCAACAAGGCCCCCAGCAUGACCCCAUGGCCUUCCCCUCCACCCAGAGCACCUGUAGCAGUGGUGGAGUCCCAGAAAUGUCCCUGGCUCAACAAGCCUUCCAGUAUCAGCCUGUGGCCUUCUUCUCCACCCAGAGCACCAGCAGCAGUGGUGGAGACCCAGAAACAUCCCAGGCUCAACAAGCCGCCCAGCAUGACCCUGUGGCCUACCCCUAUACCCAGAGCAACAGCAGCAGUGGUGCAG
rnacentral:lncRNA from 1 species